rnacentral:rRNA from 1 species
AUUGAACGCUGGCGGCAUGCCUUACACAUGCAAGUCGAACGGCAGCAUGAUCUAGCUUGCUAGAUUGAUGGCGAGUGGCGAACGGGUGAGUAAUACAUCGGAACGUGCCCUGUAGUGGGGGAUAACUAGUCGAAAGAUUAGCUAAUACCGCAUACGACCUGAGGGUGAAAGGGGGGGACCGCAAGGCCUCAUGCUAUAGGAGCGGCCGAUGUCUGAUUAGCUAGUUGGUGGGGUAAAGGCCCCCCAAGGCGACGAUCAGUUGCUGGUAUGGGAGGACGAUCAGCCACACUGGGCCUGAGACACGGCCCAGACUCCUACGGGAGGCAGCAGUGGGGAAUUUUGGACAAUGGGGGCAACCCUGAUCCAGCAAUGCCGCGUGUGUGAAGAAGGCCUUCGGGUUGUAAAGCACUUUUGUCCGGAAAGAAAUCGCACUUACUAAUAUUAGGUGUGGAUGACGGUACCGGAAGAAUAAGGACCGGCUAACUACGUGCCAGCCGCCGCCGUAA